UGCCGUAGGUGGUGCGCGGUCGUUUCGGCCCUAGGUAAACGUAACGCUGUCUGAAGAAGCCUCGAGAAGACCCGGACAAGGUGGGGGUUUAUGGGUUUGCAACCUAUGUACUACAUCGUAUUUCUAGUUAUGGCUCCACGACAAAACCCACCUAUAUAACAUCGCGACAUUACUAUGUGUAUCGAAUGUACGAGCCAAUGUCGAUCUACAUACACGUAUAUAGAUGCAACAUAUACACAACGCAAACGUAUAGAUGCAACAUAUGGGUAUUAUAGGUAUGGAUGUAGUUUGUUUGACAUGGCGGCUGACACGAAAGCGAGACGAAGCAGGAAGAUUGUCUGGCAGAAAGUAACAACGUACAGCCUAUUUCCGAAGUAAGCCUUACUCGCCUCUGGCGCGUAUCCUGCGUUGACGCCAAUAUGCUCGUCGUCAUCAAGAGGAGGUGAAAUUGGAGCUCAUUUUUUCCCUCGAAGCUUUCGUAUCUCCAGGACUAAAAGGACAGGAUCGACGAAUGGAGGACGAUCAAGCGACGAUUUUUCCUUUCCGUGAACGGAGUGUUCCUUGUACGCCCUAGGAGACUGUAUAAACGACCGUAAAGCAGUUAUCUCCGACAGAGCCAAUAGAACGAGCUUCCACUAUGAUGAAAGCGAGUUCGGCUAGGCCAGAAGCAGGAAACGAGGAACGUGGUGGAAAUUGAAAAUGGGAUGGACGACUAGGCAUGAGGGACAGAUGGCGGCCCGGAUAUAGGAACAGAACUAAAAGUCUGCGGAAAUUACGUGAUCCGCUUUCAAGCCCCUACAAUUUUCGUGGACGUGACCCACGGAUUUAUUUCCGAAAUCGAUCGCACGGACGUUAAUUAACUGGCUACGUACGCGAACAUCGUAAGACCGGCAAGCCGAGUCCGUUUAUGCUCCUCGAUAUCUCACCUGUGAUUUCUUCGAAGCAGAUUUCCAUUUUUUCGUGAAAUACUUUUCAAAAAGUUGACCAAAAGAUCGAUCGCAUGGCAGAGACUUCGUGUCAACGUCUGCUGCAACCUACCCAAUGACGGAGUUAUGACCUAACACCUUGGAUAAAACACGAUUCUCGGUAUCGUAACAAAACGAGUAUUUCGCCGCUCCCCUUCGCUGUCAAAGGCAAAUCGCAAAGAGGAUUCCACGACGCUUUGUCGCGGCAACAAAGAAGAAAGAGAAAAUACCGUCGAGCAACCAAUAAGUCGUGCACCCUACGGCGGUUGGUACGUUACAUAUAGUAAUCUAAGUUGUGUUUAUGGCUGAAUAUAUAUGCAUAGCAGUCCGGCGAAUCGUGGUGGCGCGAGGAACUCAUUACCCUACGUCGAGGGUAUUAGCAUAUUUAGAGGCAGCUCUCCUUCCUCGUCUCCGCGUUUCCACCUCUUAUCAAACCUCCCUACCCCCGUCUGCUGCUCAUUCCCCAUCCUCCGGCUCUUUCUUCUCCUCUUUUGCCUCGCCCUGCUGUAUCCCCUUUCCUUCGCGUCGAAACUCAGACCCGGUGCAUCCAAUCUCAUCGACCAAAAAAUAACAAAGAAUAAUUCUAGCAUCUUCUUCAAUUUAUUAUUACCAAAUUAUCCGAACUUCGUUUUUCUAUCUUCUUUGUCCUUUCCUUUUUUUUUUCUUUUUUUUUAGAUUAUCGUAAUAAGGAGUUUUUUUUCAAAUAAAUUCUACAGAAUAUAACGAGCAUAAAUUGUAAGCAAAAAAAAAAAAAAAGAGAAAAAACACGAAGGAGGAACGACCUGCCAAAAAGCACGUCUGUGAAUUUUCGUUCCUUCUUAAUUGCGAUUCGACCUCAGGUAUUUGCGGACCAGCGAGAAGGCAUCCGACGAAGAGCGCGUACGAGGAUCCAGUCUCGCGAAUAAAAUUUGUAUCCGCGCCGGUAUGCGCGAAUAAAAGGCGAGACAUCGGACGAGGGGAGGCAGCAGGAUGGCGAGCCGGGCUAAGUAAUUAAGGAAGCUCAUCCUCAGAGACAAUUUAACUUAAUGAGAGUCAGCCAGUUCCACCCUAGCUAUCUCUGCCAACUCCCGCACAUCUCUUUCCAUCCUCCAUCCCCUCUCUAUCUCUUUCUCUUAUUCCAUCUCGAUCCAUCUAGCUUUACCCUCUGUUUUCUCGUUCGUAGUUUCCCCCUUCCGACGCUCGUCCAUCUUGGAAGUAAAAUGUCUACUUUCCAGACGUCCGCC